UUUCCGUAGGUGAACCUGCGGAAGGAUCAUUACAGAGUAAGGGUGGUCGGGCCCGAUCUCCAACCCUUCGUUUUACUACAACGUUGCUUUGGCGGGCCCGCCUCACGACCGCCGGAAGCUUCGCUUGGACCAGCCUUCUGGCCCGUGCCCGUCAGUGGCCCCUUCAAAUUCUUGAUCAAUUAUAAUGUCUGAGUUAAAAACUUAAUAGUUAAAACUUUCAACAACGGAUCUCUUGGUUCUG
rnacentral:misc_RNA from 1 species